GGAAAUGGCAUUUUAGAGACUCUAAAUUUAAAAAUUUCCUCGGGCCUUCGGCCCUCACUUUCAGCCCCCCCAAUCGAAAAGAGCUUCCUACGGCCCUGGCUAAAUAGAAAAUAUUCCAAUGUUCCUGUUAUCCUGUAUCGGAAUGCAGUUAGGUCAGAAAUCACGUUAAAUCACGUCGCUGAUAAAAAUGUGUACAAUAACCGUGUAACUCGUAUACGGGGAAAGUCAUAAAAACGUCUUACAAGGUCGUUUAAUAAAUAUAUACUGCAGUACAGUAUAUAAUUUAAAAAAUAGUCCUAAAGAGAUUUGUGAAAAGGUGAACUUUAUGAAUGUUAUGCACAAACAUGUAGUUUUUACAUAUUAAAUUAUUUUAUUGUGGAGGAAAUAUUAAGUUUAUAGUAUAAUGGAUAUAAGAGUUAUUGCAGCAAGUCAACGCAGUUGUACGAAGACGAAGUUCUAUAUUUAAACUGUGCAAAAGUCCAUUAAAACACAGAAAAUUUACACAUAUACCAACGCUUAUUAUUAUUAAGUAAGAGCAAAAAAUC